UACGUAGGGCGCAAGCGUUGUCCGGAAUUAUUGGGCGUAAAGAGCUCGUAGGCGGUCUGUUACGUCCGCUGUGAAAACCCAGGGCUUAACCCUGGACUUGCAGUGGAUACGGGUAGACUAGAGGCAGGUAGGGGAGAAUGGAAUUCCCGGUGUAGCGGUGAAAUGCGCAGAUAUCGGGAGGAACACCGGUGGCGAAGGCGGUUCUCUGGGCCUGACCUGACGCUGAGGCGCGAAAGCGUGGGUAGCAAACAGG
rnacentral:rRNA from 1 species